UGGUAAAUUCCUUAUUGAGCUACACCAGAGCAUAGCAAUUUUGCACCAACAAUGGUUUCAAACAAUGGAAGUGUCCAUACAUUUUUGCAAAUAGGAACAUCACGAAUUCAUCUAUCAUGAAAUGCGGAAAAUUCCAUCUCGAUCGCUUAAUUCCGUGCCGAGUUUCAGCAAAGAAAAGGAAUUUUGCAAUAGUAAUAGUUAUAAACAAUUAAAAAAUUCAUAAAUUUUUGGAAAUGUGAUCAUCGCGAAAACCUGUACGGCCGCAAAAUGUAAGGGAUUUCAUCGAUUUCAGGCCAAACAUACGUGAAAUAUUACGCUCUUUGCGAUAAAAAGUGUUAUAAAGUGGUAAAAAACAAAGUAAGGACAAAUGUUUUGUUAUGGGACCAAAUGGCAAAUGCUCUCCUAGAUGCAAGAAGUUUCAAUCUGAUUGGUCCAUGCGUCUCGGAGUAAGAAGCAAGACAAAAUUUUUCUGUUUUUUAAAAAUACGGUUAAAAAAUGACAACUCACAAAAUGUUUCUUUUACGCGACCAACUGGAAGAAAUAUUCGACAAGAUGCAAGAGGUUUCACUCCGAUUCAUCAAGCCAUCUCGGCGUAAUCGGUGAACAGACAUUAAAAAAAAAAAAAUAUAUAUAUAUAUAUAUGUAUAUAUACAUGUCAAAUUGAGUAACCUCCUCCUUUUCGAAGUCCGUUAAAAAUUGACAGUCGCAAAGACAGAAUUUCAGCAAAUGUUGACGGAGGGCAUAAUACAGCCAUCGAAGAGCCAAUGGGCGAGUCCAUUACAUAUGAUAAAGAAAAAUACUGGUGAAUGGAGGUUAUGCGGUGAUUAUAGGAGGCUAAACAGUGUUACAGUGCCAGAUAAGUACCCAUUACCACAUGUACAGGAUAUCGUCCAUGAUUUUGAUGGUACCACAGUAUUUUCAGUAAUAGAUUUGCGAAGAGCAUAUCAUCAGAUACGAAUGGCACCAGAGGACCAGCCUAAAACAGCAAUACAACCCCCUUUGGAUUGUACGAAUAUAUGCAUCAGAGAAUGUGGAGCAGCAUGAAGCACAUCUGCGAGCAGUGUUCCAAAAGCUGGAGGAGCAUGGUCUAACCAUAAAUGUAUCAAAGUGCCAAUUCGUACAGGAAGAAGUGCAAUAUUUAGGUUGUAGAAUUAACAAACUAGGUAUCGCUCCUUUGGAAAAAAGGGUUUCAGCGAUACAGACAUACGCAAAACCAACCACAAUUAGUGAGGUAAGAAAAUUUUAGGUGUACUAAAUUAUUAUAGGAGAUUUCUUGCCAAUGCAGGGGAGAUUCUAGUACUGUUGAACCAAAUGCUCAAAGGAAGAUAACAGGCCAGUCAAGUGGACAGAGAAUGCAGAAAAAGCCUUCGACAAAUGCAAGGAGUUAAUGGCAGCAGCUACAUUGUUGCAUUAUCCAGUAAAAGGAGCAAAAUUAGCACUCACAAAAGAUGCUUCAAAUAUUGCGUUAGGAGCAGUGCUGGAACAAUGGAAUCAAAACAAGUGGGAACCACUAGGGUUCUUUUCUAGUAAACUGAACAGAGCUCAAACAAGAUACAGCACAUACGAUAGAGAGUUGCUGACAAUUUAUAAAGCAAAAAGCUGAUAAGGCAACACCGAGACAAUUACGUCAGUUAGACUUCAUUGGGCAGUAUACAACGAAUAUACAGCAUGUGACAGGAACGAUGAACAAUAUUGCAGAUGCACUGUCACGGGUAGCAACUAUAAAUUUACCAGUUUUAGUUUCAACAGAAUAAUUAAUUGAAGAGCAGAAAACAGAUGAAGAACUGCAAAAUUUAAUAGGAAGACCAAAUCAAAUGGACAAAUGGGGUAUUAGAAAAAUUGCCAUCAGCGAUUCCAAUAAACAUAUAUAUGCUGACAUUUUUAACGAAACAGUCAGACCAUACAUACCUAAAGCCUUAAGGAAAAGGAUUUUCGAGGCUAUACACAAUUUGUCCCAUCCAGGAGGAAAAGCUACGAAGAAAAUUAUAGCAAAAAGCUUCAUGUGGCCAUAAAUGAGAAAAGAUAUUACCAAUUGGGUGCGUUCUUGUUUAGAUUGCCAACGAGGGAAGGUUCACAGACACAAUAAAAAACAGCCACAGCAUAUUGAAGUUCCAACUGGAAGGUUUGAACAUAUACACGUGGAUAUUGUGGGACCCCUUUCACGAUCCAAAAAUUUUUGAUAUUGCUUGACUAUAAUAGAUAGGUUUACACGUUGGCCUGAAGCGAUCCCAUUAAAGGACAUAUCAGCUGAUUCAGUAGCAAUAGCAUUAUAUUAUAUUGGAUUACAAGAUUUGGAACGCCAAUAACAAUGGCCACAAACCAAGGUACUCAGUUUGAAUCCUUAUUAUUUAAAUCACUAACCAAAUUAUUGGGAUGCAAUAGAAACAGAACAACACCAUAUCACCCAGCAUCUAAUGGAUUAGUAAAAAGAUGGCACAGAUCAUUUAAAAGAGCCAUCAUAUGUCAUAAGGAUAAUGAGUGGACAGAAAUUUUGCCCACAGUACUUUUAGGUCUGAGAACGAGUUUUAAAGAGGAUAUUAAUGCAACAGCAGCUGAGAUGAUAUAUGGAAGCAACAUACGCUUACCAGGAGAAUUGUUCGAGCAAGGCGAAAGAAGUGAACCAGAACAUUUUAUUAAUAAAUUCCGACAAUAUAUUAAGAGAAUUAAACCGAUUCCAACCGCUUACCAUUCCAGACGUAAGGUAUUCACUUAUAAAACGUUAUAUACAUGUACACAUGUUUUUGUCAGGAUAGAUGCUGUAAAAAAAACCAUUGGAUCCACCUUACGAAGGGCCAUUUCAAAUUCUAAAAGAUUAUCAGAUGAUGUAUUUCAAACUAAUUAUAAAAGAAAACCCACAAAUAUAUCCAUCGAGCGAUUAAAACCGGCAUUUACGGAAGACGUGGGAAAAACAAGCGCAGAAGGAUCAAGAAGUACUGAACUUAGAACUAUGAAAUAGCAAAUGGUAUUGGGCAAUGGGUUCGGAGAGUAUCGCAAUAUCCCAAUAACACCACUGGAUUACUUCCAAGCACGCAUUCUGAGCAACGACAGACGAUUUCAACGAACAGAUUACUUGUUCUUUGCACUAUCUGUUGUUGAAUAUUACCGCGCAAAAGCGUCUCGGUAUCGUGUAGAAUGCGCCAAGGGGAACACACUCCAACUGAACUAAUAGAUAAUAUUCACCUAACCAUGAGAAACAUACGAGGUUCGGCAUCAUAUUGGAGACGAUCGUGUUCCGAGCUAAUCGCCAUGGUGCGAAGUCUUGGACCGCCGACAUGGUUUGCUACAUUUUCCUGCAACGAUCUGAAUUGGCCAGACAUGUUGAAAGCGUUCCUAAUAUCGGAAGGCCGUUCUUCCGAGGAGGCUGGAAACCUCACAUUCACAGAUCGAUUGAAAUUAGUUCAAAGAUACCCAGUAGUUGUAGCAAGACAAUUUACGGUACGCGUUAACGCGUUAAUGCAGUAUAUAAAGGGCACCCAAUGCCUAGGCGGCGUUGUUAUCGAUUAUUGGUAUAGAAUCGAAUUUCAAAACAGAGGGAGCCCGCAUUUGCACUUGCUUAUUUGGUGUGCAAACAUACCGGAUUUCCUAACCAACGAAGGGGUCAAUGUUAUCGAGAAUGUUGUAUCGUGCUCAAUAGAAACCGCGGAACAAGAUACCGAUAAGCGAACGAACAAUGUGCCUAGGUCCUGACGACACACUUGCCAACAACGGACGUUUCUGCGUACUGAAACGAACUGCGAACGAAAUAAUGGCGAAUAAUUAUAAUCCCGCUCUUUUAAAGAUAUGAGACGCUAUUUUAAAGAUUAGUGACAAUGUCUCAAGUAGAGAUGUUAUGCGAACGAAGAAGAGUUCCCUUAACCGGAAAAUUUGAGGAUGGAGCAGCUGUAAGAAUAUCCCAACCAUAAAAUUAGUGGAUGAAUAUAACACCAAAAUGUCUGAUAAAUUAGCAAAAUCACGUCGAAUGUAUGUCAUCGAUUCAAUAGAUGAAUCUCGCGAGGCAGCUACUUAUGGAAAAAGACCACCACAAGGUGUCAUACCUGCAAAUGUAAAUAACUGUGGCGGACUUUUACAUACAAUAUUGUUAGCCGAGGGAUCGCGAAUCAUGCUACGACGAAAUAUAUCCGUUUCUGAUGGUUUGAUAAAUGGCGCAAUGGGACUAAUAAAGAAAUUUAUAUGGCCGGCACUUCGGCGAGAUCAGCUGGAACAGGGAGAAUUGCCGGACUCUGUACUUAUAGAAUUUGACGACAAAUCCAUUGGUAACAGGUUCAAAGAUAUCGACGGAUACAUUCCAAUCUCCCCAGUAACCGCAACGUUUCAAGCAACAAGAGGUUAUGGAGACGUCGAACGCAGGAUGUUCCCACUUAUACUAAGCUGGGCAGUAACGGUUCACAAAUUACAAGGGACAACGUUAGAUAAAGCUGUAAUCGAUCUGGGCAAAAAGAAUUUUGCUAAAGGUCAAAUGUACGUUGCUCUUAGUCGUGUUAAAAAUUUACGUGAUCUAGCUUUAUCUGAUUUAGCAAUAAAUAAAGUACUCAAUAAACCGCACGACGAAAAAGCAUUAGCGGAAAUGGAAAGACUAAGGCGGCUCUUGUUAAUACAGAGAAACACUCCAAAUCAUCUCCCAGCGAACGAAACACUUGGAAACAACUGAAGUACACUUUACCUUUAAUCAUCGAGAUAUUGAGAACGCCCACAUUCAAUUCACCAGCGAUUCAUUACAAGCAAGGUAAUAUUAUUAAGUAAUUACAACAUAAAAUAUAUACCAAAUGGAUUACGGGGAAAGCAUCCCUGAACCUGAAUCGCUAGAUUUCAUGUUUAAAUAUUUAUAGUUUACAUAUUGUUUGUAAGUUCUUUGUUUGUUUGUCUGUUUGUAAGUCAGACCACCAAGAUAACCUGAUACAGCAUGUGGAAGACCCCACCCCGGGUAAUAAACAAUAAGAAAAAAAUAGGAAUUUUGCAAUAACAAUAGUUAUAAACAAUAUGAGAAAAAUAGAAAUUUUGCAAUAACAAUAAUUAUAAACAAAAAGAAAAAUCAUUUUUUGCAAAGUGAUCACCACGAAAACGAGACCGGCAGCAAAAUGUACUGGGUUUCAUCGAUUUCAUCGAAUUCAGUAGGAACAUACGUGAAAUAGUACAAUUUUCGAUAAAAAGUGCAAUAAAGUGGUAAAAAAUGGAAAUAGGUCAAAUGUCUUUUUAAGCUUUUAAGAGGCAACGAAGCCCCACCAAAUGCAAGAAGAAUCAAUCCGAUUGGUCAAUCCGUUACGGAAUAAGAAGCAGUACAAAAUUUUUCAGUUUUUUGCGAAAAAAACAGGUAAAAAAUGAGAAAUUCCAAAAUUUUUUGGUAAUCGAGCCACCUCGGAGAUAUGCUCUACAAGAUGCAACAGAUUUCAUCCCGAUCGGUCAAGCCGUCUGAACGUAAUCGAGUAACAUACAUAAAAAAAAAAAAAAAUAUACGUGUCGAAUUGAGUAACCUCCUCCUUUUCGAAGUCGGUUAAAAAACUGUGAGAUUCGCAGUUUAACAUUUUAAACCGCUCGGAGGGGAGUGAUGUGGGGUAAAGAGAAAAGUUCUUAGAGCAUAAGUUACCAUCUAGUUUUUAAGUUGGUAGUAUGUAACAUGGUACAAACUGAAGAAAAAGUAAAAAAAAAAAUAAG